CAUUUCUAAAUGGUAAACCAUAAGUGAUAGAGACCAAGGGUCUUUAGAUUUGAGGUCCUUGGUCCAAAAAAAUGAAAAUGAGGUCAAGGUCAAAGGUCAAGGUCAUAUUCUAAAUUUUGAUUUUGGCUAAUUUUCCCUUAUUUUCAAAAACCUUAAAAGAUAUCGACAAAUUAUUUUUACUAAAUUGUUAGUUGCGACAUGUUGUAACUUAUAAAUUUUGGUUGGAAGAGUGCGUAAACAAUAAAUGAGAGUUUUCGCCCAUCUUAUAUUUAAAAUCAU
rnacentral:lncRNA from 1 species